AUAUUUUUUUUGGGAGCCGAAUUCCUUAUCCUUACCUCGGUCAAAGAUCUCCCUCGACAAGCGUGCAGGAAUUUGGAACGGCUAUGAACAGUGACCCUCGAAGUUUGCGCCCAUCGACUGGAUCAAGCAAUUCGGCUGACGAGGGAUCGGAUCAGCCGAGUUCAAAGACUUUACUGUAGAUUCGGUUCGGCUAGAUGAGCCGAAUAUACGGACUAUACAAAAGCUAAGGUCUGCCGAUGAGCCGAAUUGAUAAAAACACAGCGUUUGGUCGGCCUAAAGAGCCGAAAACCCUUAAAUAUAUUGAAACUGGCUGGUGGAAAGAAAACAGGGAUCGACUGUGCCUGAUGGCAUACAGACUCGGUUGAUCUACUUAGGAACUAUUCUUAGGAAAAAAAGUAAAUACGGAAAAGUAAAAGUUACAAGUAGACUACUCCUAGGAAAUGCGAGAAAUUGUAAGGAAAAUAAGGGCGGUCUUCUAUUCACGAAAAAAAGACCUCUUUUUAGGACGUUAUUUGCUUAUUUAUAUAUCGCCCCCGUUGAUCAGUUAUUACCUAUCCAUGAUCGGCCACUAUUCCUUAAUUUUUCUGACCACUUUCAGCCGAUCGGAACCGCUUGCAACUGCUUGUGGUUGCAAUAACUUCCCUUAAAUCGUGCGGUUUAGGACUCUUUCGAUGCUCCUAGUAUAUAGCGCAUCAAUGAAGCUGAAUGGAGUACCGGUGUACCACAUGUCUGCGUCUUAUUGGCCCAACAAUUUUAUAUUAUUUUAUUAUCUUAAUUAUUAAUUAAAUAGAUUUAAGCAUAAAUAAUUGAGCUAGGCGGGUAUACUAUUGGUAGCACGGAGGCCUCCGUGUUACCAAGUUGUUUUCGAUGAUGCGGCUUCCAAAUCCACGAUCGGCUCCGUUAGACUUGAUCUACACUAUUAAAAGUAUUAUUAAAUUUUAUAAUUUUUCGACAUCAUUUGGCUAGUGAUCAACAGGUCUCAAAAUUGACAAUUUUAAUGAUAGAUGUGAUGCGUUUGUGAAUUUAACGGUGUAAUACAAUCCAAAUCUGAUGAAUUUUUUAGAGAAAAUUCUUUUUACUAUUUAGAGUAAGAUCAGUACUUCUGAUCUUAAAUUCAAGACUUUUAUCAUCAUUUUUUAUGAGAUUUUUAUUUUCAGCCGUUUAUUAUUAGACUACUUGUUUGAUAGGAAAUGAUGUCAAAAAAUUAUAAAAUUUAGUUUCUAAAUACUUUCAAUAGUGUAGAUCAACUCUAGCGGAGUCGAUCGUCGAUUUAGAAGCCGCAUCAUUGAAAACAACUUGAUAGCACGGAGGCCUCCGUGCUACCGAUAGUAUACCAGCCUAGCUCUAAAUAAUUUAUAAUUAAAAUAAUUAAAAUAAAAAUUAAUUUAAUUUGGUUCAUGUGCGGUAUAAAUUUUUAUAAGAACUAAUUGUUGACCUAGUGAUCCUAAUCUGCAACUAAAUUUCGAUGAUUACAAAUAAU
rnacentral:lncRNA from 1 species